GUUGCACAGGUGACAGCCACCUAGGCAUGGUCCUGCUUGAGCUGCACCUGUGCCUCUCCUGCAGAGGUUAAGGCUCUCUUUUAAGACUGAAAUAUAGGGGAAACUGCUGUGAAAUGGGUUGGAGUUUGGCACCUUGAAUCUCUCAGCAUCUGGGCCUUGGUUCUUCACCUCAAACCAUCCUGAGCAUGGGCCGUAUGUCACUUGCUGGCACAGGACGAGGCUGUUGCAAGAGGCCUGUCCAUGUGUGCUAAGGGAACCAAAACAAUAUGCUGCUUCCAAUCUGUCCUAAAUCAUGAGCACUUUUAAUUGUUCCCCCCAUCCGGCAGGCAGAGCUGGCACCAGCACAGACAAUGCUCUGCAGGUCUCACCAGCUGGCGGGCUGGACCUUCCAGAUUUAGCCUUGGCAUCAGCGAGUUUAACUGCAGGCACCAGGAAAUCUGCUGGCAGCAAGAGGAGAGGGAGGCUGGGCGGCUGUCCCCUCAGGAGAGAGGCCCCGGUGUCGUUCCAUGUGCAGGAUUUUCCUUGCCCACACAAAUGCACUAAUGGCAUUACCACCAGCCUUUCAGAGAAAUCCUGGGAGUAAGCUUUCUAAAGAAGCAGUGCCUUGUGACUAGCGGUUGCAGGAGUCCAGGUUUGAGAAGGGCUGACCAUGGAGAUCAUACGACCAGACGUCCUGAGUUGUUUCUUCUGAGAGUGGAUUGAAUUCUUCCAGCUUGUCUCACACCUCCCCAGGGCAUCAGUUUGCAGCAUGGUUAUGGGUGCUCCUUGCUGCAUUUAGCUAACUUCCCCCUGGCAAUCUCCAACAGAAAAAAAAACGUGGUUUUAAAAGGCCAGCACACAGAGCAGUAAGGUACUCACCAGCCUUUAUAAAUUUGUGGGACAAAUGAAAAAGUGGCUCCUCUACCUCGUUCCAGCAGCCCUGAUGCUUCAGCAGUUUGGGUGCAUCUGAAGCUGAGGAAAGAAAAGUCCCAGGUUUGUGGUGGUUUUGGUCCUGCUUCCCCAUGGGCCAGCCUCCAGGUCACCUACACUGGCUUUUCAUCUGGGGAAAGCAGGUAUCCUUCCCUGCUGCUCUUCAAUUUUAAUUGUAAUUAUGUUAGGAUCUUCAAAGGAGUCCUUUAGGACAGACCUGGCUUAUACUUCUAGUAAGGGACAGUUUCUUCCUUCCCUGUAUGGGGAGAGAAACCAAUAGGUUAAUGCCACGUCCAGCAUCGUUCAGGUGCUGGGUGACAACAGCAGGUUUUGUCUUCGCUGAACUUUGCAUCGAUCUCUGCUCCAUCACUUAAUUAGCCCCAUCCAGAAUACAUUAAGCAAACAGCGUCUGUCUGCCUGCCCACCCGUUUGGCACGUUCCCAUCCGAGUAGUGGUAAGCCCCAAAAUAUUGGGCGCCGGCCAACAGAGCCCUAGCAAUCCCCACUUGGCAACCUUAUUAACGAGUGCUCCUUCCAGCAGCUCGAGCUUUGUUGUUGCUCCUGCUUUUCCUUUGGGUUUGUUUCGGCAGACAGGGUGCAUCUUUGCAAAUGAGGUGGGUGAUCUCCCCAGCUUCACCCUGUGGGGUGAAAGCCAGACUUAAGGCCACCUUAAAGUGCCUGGUACACCUCCUGCCAAGCUUUUUCUCGGUGCUCAGGCAGUAGCAAAACAGUUUCCCCAGCUCCCAGCACGGCAUCGGAUACUGGGAGGAUUCAUCCCUGGGCUCUGUCAAAGCUCCAGAGGGACAAUCAUUAACAUAUAUACGUUUUUUUAUUGGCCUUGGUCAGCUUUUGCGAGGGUGGUUUUAAUUAGCUCUGCUCAGCUAUUAAGCACCUGUCCAAAGCCUGUCUGGCUGCAGAAAAGCAAGUUAAAUAAUUUGGGAAGGUCUGCGCAGUGCCAGCCAACUCUCUGCUCACAAAAUGAGCUGCUUGGGCCAGCACUGGCACUUCUAUAAAGGAAAGCUGGUCCCUUUGAGGCCCGGGUCUAUCUGCUUUUAUCACUCUGCAGACUCUUGGGUCCAGCUCCUUGGAAUUCGCUUACAGCUGUUUGAUGCUUCCCCAAACAACUGACUGGAGCUCAGGAGAAGGGCAGCUCUUUUCUCAGAACAUCUGCAGACAAACAACUGCGGCUACACGGGGAAGGCUAAGCACGUUUACAGCUUGGGUUUUCAAGAAGCUCCCCCAAAUCUGGAGGCUUUUCUGAUCUGAGUUGUAUGUGUCUGCAAAAAUAAACUAGAAAGCUUGUGAAAGCGAGGAGGCUUCCUGCAAUAUAUCCAGUAUUCCUCCUUCCAUUCCGUCUGUAAAAUACCUCGGGAAGAACAUUUCCAGAGCUCCGAAUCUGUAUGUGCAAUGGCGUGAGAGAGGAGCAGUGGUGGUUGUAACCUUGGUACUUUGAACUGCUUCCUUUUUUCCUUUUCCUGCCUUUUAUCCUUCCCUCUCCCUCUUCCAUCAUGGGAAAAGAGGACUGUGCUCUCAGGUCCCUCCCUGUGGCAGAAUCAGACUUGUAGCCAGUUCCAGAUUCUUCAGAAGCCCUUUGAAUUUCGUGAUUUGAUACCUGUGAGAACUUCCUAGCUUUAUCAGUUUAAAAUAUUUCUGCAUGGGUUUCAAUUUGUGCUGUUUGCAUUGAGGGAAGCUUUAAUACUAAAAAUAAAAUGAAGAAAGGCUUGACUGCUUAGGGCAUUUUCCAUGGAGAUAUGGGCUCAAGCUCUCCUUAAGCAGAGGGAAUUUGGCUUGGGGAUGGUUUCCAAGCUGCUGCAAAUUUGCUAGCCCUUUCU